CAGCCGCCACGGUAAUACGAAGGGUGCAAGCGUUAAUCGGAAUUACUGGGCGUAAAGCGUGCGUAGGCGGUUUGUUAAGUCUGUUGUGAAAUCCCCGGGCUCAACCUGGGAAUGGCAAUGGAUACUGGCAAGCUAGAGUGUGUCAGAGGAUGGUGGAAUUCCCGGUGUAGCGGUGAAAUGCGUAGAGAUCGGGAGGAACAUCAGUGGCGAAGGCGGCCAUCUGGGACAACACUGACGCUGAGGCACGAAAGCGUGGGGAGCAAACAGGAUUAGAGACCCCUGUAGUCCCUGUCUCUUAUAC
rnacentral:rRNA from 1 species